rnacentral:rRNA from 1 species
AUUGAACGCUGGCGGCAGGCCUAACACAUGCAAGUCGAGCGGAGCGGCGGACGGGGGCGUAAUGCCUAGGAAUCUGCCUGGGAGUGGGGGAUAACGUCCGGAAACGGGCGCUAAUACCGCAUACUAUCAGAUGAGCCUAGGUGGGAUUAGCUAGUGGGUGGGGUAAAGGCCUACCAAGGCGACGAUCCGUAACUGGUCUGAGAGGAUGACCAGUCACACUGGAACUGAGACACGGUCCAGAAUCCUACGGGAGGCAGCAGUGGGGAAUCUUGCGCAAUGGGCGAAAGCCUGACCCAGCCAUGCCGCGUGUGUGAAGAAGGUCUUCGGAUUGUAAAGCACUUUAAGUUGGGAGGCGUUACCAACAGAAUAAGCACCGGCUAACUACGUGCCAGCAGCCGCGGUAAUAC